UUGCUCGGUCAGCCUAUCGCUGCAUAACUCGCUUAUGUAGAGGAAAGUCCGGACAACGUAGAGUACCAUGCCAACUAACCGUUGGGAGCAGGUCUCGAGAGAGGUCUGUUAUAGAAAGUGCCACAGAAAAUUACCGCUCUUCGGAGUAAGGGUGAAAACGUGAGUUAAGAGCUCACGACGGCAUUUAGCAAUAAAUGUCGGGGGUAAACCUCAUGGGUUGAAAUGCCAUGUAUAUUUUGGAACCUAGUGGGGUAGGUGUUUGCUCGGCAUCGGAAUCGCAAGAUCGCCAAAAGGGGUAGGCAGCUUAGAUAAAUGAUAGGCAUAUACAGAAUCCGGCUUACGACAUUUUAAAAAC
rnacentral:RNase_P_RNA from 1 species